UUGCAAAUAAAUGUUACUAUUUGCAAAAUAUGUCCGAUGCGAAAAUUGGCAUGAAGCACUAUUGCCUUAACAGAGCCCUUGAACAUAAAGGCCUGGAGGCAUGUGUUAUACUAAACACUAUCGCAACAGCAUCCUCUCGCGGGAGGAUGUGCUACGAAUAUCUAGGGCUAAUUACAUGUAGUACCACGUCAUUCAAGAAACCUAGGACUGCUUUGAUAUUAAAAAGCGGUUCUUUGCCAAGAAACAUACUGGGAUGGAGAGGGAUAUGGUAGCGGUAUGCAAGAGGAAAAUGUUUCCUUCUCUCUGUUUCGGCUUCCCGGCACUCCAGGAGGACAUGGAGGACGGUCAGCCUCUCACCACAUCGACCACAGGUUGGAGGCUCGUUACCAGUCAGCAAAAAAUUGUAUUUGCUGUCCAUACAGUUCUACACAGGGAUCUGUAAUCAGGCCUCUCUUUCUUGUGAAAAGAACACAAGAACUUUUGUGGGGGUUAACUUUAAACCCGUUUUCAUCUGCCCACUUGGACACCUUGUUCAAGCCCUGCUGUACCUGUCUCUCGCACACAGCGAGGUUACAGGACUUGAAGCCUAUUUGUAUAUCGUCUACGUAGACGGAAUAAAAAAUUGCCGGUGGUAA